CCGCUUUUAGCUCAGUGGUCAAGCGCUGGCUUUGGAAGCCACAGGUCGGUGGUUCGAACCCACCAGGGCACA
rnacentral:tRNA from 1 species